rnacentral:rRNA from 1 species
GAUGAACGCUGGCGGCGUGCCUAAUACAUGCAAGUCGAGCGAACAGACGAGGAGCUUGCUCCUCUGACGUUAGCGGCGGACGGGUGAGUAACACGUGGAUAACCUACCUAUAAGACUGGGAUAACUUCGGGAAGCCGGAGCUAAUACCGGAUAAUAUAUUGAACCGCAUGGUUCAAUAGUGAAAGACGGUUUUGCUGUAACUUAUAGAUGGAUCCGCGCCGCAUUAGCUAGUUGGUAAGCUAACGGCUUACCAAGGCGACGAUGCGUAGCCGACCCGAGGGUGUGCUCGACCACACUGGCACUGAGACACGGUCCAGACUCCUACGGGAGGCAGCAGUAGGGAAUCUUCCGCAAUGGGCGAAAGCCUGCCGGAGCAACGCCGCGUGAGUGAUGAAGGUCUUCGGAUCGUAAAACUCUGUUAUUAGGGAAGAACAAAUGUGUAAGUAACUAUGCACGUCUUGACGGUACCUAAUCAGAAAGCCACGGCUAACUACGUG